AGUGAACGCUGGCGGUAGGCCUAACACAUGCAAGUCGAACGGCAGCACAGUAAGAGCUUGCUCUUACGGGUGGCGAGUGGCGGACGGGUGAGGAAUACAUCGGAAUCUACUUUUUCGUGGGGGAUAACGUAGGGAAACUUACGCUAAUACCGCAUACGACCUACGGGUGAGAGCAGGGGAUCUUCGGACCUUGCGCGAUUGAAUGAGCCGAUGUCGGAUUAGCUAGUUGGCGGGGUAAAGGCCCACCAAGGCGACGAUCCGUAGCUGGUCUGAGAGGAUGAUCAGCCACACUGGAACUGAGACACUGUCCAGACUCCUACGGGAGGCAGCAGUGGGGAAUAUUGGACAAUGGGCGCAAGCCUGAUCCAGCCAUACCGCGUGGGUGAAGAAGGCCUUCGGGUUGUAAAGCCCUUUUGUUGGGAAAGAAAAGCAGCAGGUUAAUACCCCGCUGUUCUGACGGUACCCAAAGAAUAAGCACCGGCUAACUUCGUG
rnacentral:rRNA from 1 species